rnacentral:rRNA from 1 species
UACAGAGGGUGCAAGCAUUAAUCGGAAUUACUGGGCGUAAAGGGUGCGUAGGUGGUUGAAUAAGUUAGGUGUGAAAGUCCUGGCUUAACCUGGGGAUUGCGCCUAAUACUGUUUAGCUAGAGUACUGUAGAGGAAGGUGGAAUUUCCAGUGUAGCGGUGAAAUGCGUAGAUAUUGGAAGGAACAUCAGUGGCGAAGGCGACUUUCUGGACAGAUACUGACACUGAGGCACGAAAGCGUGGGGAGCAAACAGG